GAUGAACGCUGGCGGCGUGCCUAAUACAUGCAAGUCGAGCGAAUGGAUUAAGAGCUUGCUCUUUUGAAGUUAGCGGCGGACGGGUGAGUAACACGUGGGUAACCUGCCCAUAAGACUGGGAUAACUCCGGGAAACCGGGGCUAAUACCGGAUAACAUUUUGAACCGCAUGGUUCGAAAUUGAAUGGCGGCUUCGGCUGUCACUUAUGGAUGGACCCGCGUCGCAUUAGCUAGUUGGUGAGGUAACGGCUCACCAAGGCAACGAUGCGUAGCCGACCUGAGAGGGUGAUCGGCCACACUGGGACUGAGACACGGCCCAGACGCCUACGGGAGGCAGCAGUAGGGAAUCUUCCGCAAUGGACGAAAGUCUGACGGAGCAACGCCGCGUGAGUGAUGAAGGCUUUCGGGUCGUAAAACUCUGUUGUUAGGGAAGAACAAGUGCUAGUUGAAUAAGCUGGCACCUUGACGGUACCUAACCAGAAAGCCACGGCUAACUACGUGCCAGCCGCCGCGGUAA
rnacentral:rRNA from 1 species